rnacentral:rRNA from 1 species
AUUGAACGCUGGCGGCAGGCCUAACACAUGCAAGUCGAGCGGAUCGGCAGACGGGUGAGUAAUACCUAGGUAUCUGCCUGGUCGUGAGGGAUAACGUCAGGAAACGGGAGCUAAUACCGAAUCCUAUCAGAUUCGCCUAGGUCGGAUUAGCUAGUGGGGGGGGUAAAGGCAUACCAAGGAGACGAUUCCGACCUGUUCUGAGAGUAUGAUCAGUCACACUGGAACUGAGACACGGUCCAGACUCCUACGGGAGGCAGCAGUGGGGAAUAUGGGACAAUGGGCGAAAGCCUGAUCCAGCCAUGCCGCGUGAGUGAAGAAGGUCUUCGGAUUGUAAAGCACUUUCAGUUGGGAGGCGUUACCAACAGAAUAAGCACCGGCUAACUUCGUGCCAGCAGCCGCGGUAAUAC